UACGUAGGGCGCAAGCGUUGUCCGGAAUUAUUGGGCGUAAAGAGCUCGUAGGCGGCCUGUUGCGUCCGCUGUGAAAUCCCGGGGCUCAACCCCGGGCGUGCAGUGGAUACGGGCUGGCUGGAGGCAGGCAGGGGAGAACGGAAUUCCUGGUGUAGCGGUGAAAUGCGCAGAUAUCAGGAGGAACACCGGUGGCGAAGGCGGUUCUCUGGGCAGUAACUGACGCUGAGGAGCGAAAGCGUGGGGAGCGAACAGG
rnacentral:rRNA from 1 species